UACGGCUUCUGCUCGUUCCCGACC
rnacentral:siRNA from 1 species